AGUUCUAGUGUUACUGACUAGUGCAAAUUUUCCUAAUACAGAUUGAAAUAGAGCAUGCAUAAUAAAACGAAAUAUUUUUUAAUCAUUUAUAUAUAGUUUGCAGUUGUUCAUUACUUUACCAAAUAUGGGUCAGGAGAGUGCUACUUCAGCAGCGAUUUUAGCUCCGAUGAGUCGGACUCAGAUGAUGAUUGGGAAACAUGCGAAAAAAUUGUUCGAUCGGGAGGAGAAUCAGUAAAUACUCGUUCUCCCAUACACCACGUGAUACCGACUGAUCCGACGCUUAUCGAAAUUAUUCCUUUAAAUCCGUAUGCGACAAUUCCGCUGAAAACGCGCAGAUCUUCAUCCUGGUCAGCAAUUGCUAAUUACUGUUUCCAUAGGAAAAGCACUCCACAAGAAGUUCUUGUCAAUAAUAACGUUCAGAGACCAAGUAUAACAGCGCAUAGUCGCACUUACAGGAAAAGGAAAAAAAGAACCCCAAGAUUUAAUUCCGUUUCGAAAAUCGACCAAGUCUCCCGAGUAGUAUUUCCAAUAUUUUUUGUAACCAUAAACUUAUUUUAUUGGUAUUCUUACCUGUUAAGGACUAACAGAAUACAAAAUGUUGGUUAUUCAUAAGAUAAAAUUGUAUAUGCUUAGAAUUUCAAAACUUAGGACUUUCGUGUUUUUAUAAAUCAUUUAAUUAUUAGUAAUAUAUGUUAAUAGGUUUAGAUAAAAUCAGUUUUAUUAGCUAUAUUUGUAUUGCAUUUAUGUGCAUAUUUCAAGACGAAAACAUUUCGGCAAAAAUAUAAUUAAAUCGGUGAGUUUGAAAACGCUACAAGUCCAAAAUUCUACAUUUAAAAGUAGAAUAGCCAUGUUGUUUUAAAUAUGUUCCCGAAUUGACCGCGGAAACGACACCACAAAACAUUCUUAGUAGAUACGUAAAUUGUGGUGUUUACAUUAACUGGCAACUGGCACGGUAACGUAGGGCUCGGAAUUAAACUCGAAUAAUUCGAGUAUUCGAAUAUUCAAAAAGCGAAUAAUUAUCAACAGCAAGUCAUAACUCAAAUAUUCGAAUACUCAAAUAUUCGAAUACAAACUCACAAGGUGCAAAUAUCUUUAUCUGCAGUUUGUAUACUUUUAUAAAAUAAAUUAUUAAUAUUCUACAAGCAUUGAAACAAAUACCCAUAUAAUUACAAGCAAAUGAAAAUAAUAAUUUACCCUCCUGCAAAGGAAUAUAAAAUUACGUCUCUGUGUUCUAGUAAUUCGAGUCAUCAACUUUUGCGCGGUGUUACUACAAUUAAUGUGCCGACAUAGUCACUUUUUUUAUCCGUUGCGGCUAAUUGCCAAAAAUGAUAUGAGAUAACGAUUUUUCUUCUUGUAAACGAUGAACGGAAAACAAAUACUCGAAUACUCGAAUAUUCGAAUACUCGAUUAUUCGAAUAUUCGUUACGUAUUCGAGUAUUCGAAUCAACUACUAAACAAGUAUUCGAUUUUCAUAUUUUUAAAAAUUUCGAGCCCUACGGUAACGACACGUACAGACAAAACAUUCUUGGCAAGAAGAAUAAUGCCUACACUCUAAGCAGAAUGUACAGCUGCAUAUGAAAAAUAAAUCUGGUUUUUAGACGUUACUAUUAUUUUUAUUUUAUAAAAGUUUAGAGCUAGAGCAAUUAAAAUUAUGAAAAUCCCAAGUCUGAAAAACCAGGAAUAAUUAUAUAAUUGUAAAGUUCUGUUUAAUGUAAAAUUUAGUUUUAGGUUUGUUAUAACCAAAUAUAUUAUUAGAAGCAACAAUACAAACAA